UACGUAGGGUGCGAGCGUUAAUCGGAAUUACUGGGCGUAAAGCGUGCGCAGGCGGUUUUGUAAGCCAGAUGUGAAAUCCCCGGGCUUAACCUGGGAAUGGCAUUUGGGACUGCAAGGCUGGAGUGCGGCAGAGGAGACUGGAAUUCCUGGUGUAGCAGUGAAAUGCGUAGAUAUCAGGAGGAAUACCGAUGGCGAAGGCAAUCCCCUGGACCUGUACUGACGCUCAUGCACGAAAGCGUGGGGAGCAAACAGG
rnacentral:rRNA from 1 species